UACAGAGGUCUCAAGCGUUGUUCGGAUUCAUUGGGCGUAAAGGGUGCGUAGGUGGCGCUGUAAGUCGGGUGUGAAAUUUCGGAGCUUAACUCCGAAACUGCAUUCGAUACUGCGGUGCUUGAGGACUGGAGAGGAGACUGGAAUUCAUGGUGUAGCAGUGAAAUGCGUAGAGAUCGAGAGGAACACCAGUGGCGAAGGCGAGUUCCUGGACAAGUCCUGACGCUGAGGCACGAAAGCCAGGGGAGCAAACAGG
rnacentral:rRNA from 1 species